CUGGACAAGGCUGAGGGGAAAGGCAGGGAACAGUAGGUACAGCUGGACCAGGCUGAGGGGAAAGGCAGGGAACAGUAGGUACAGCUGGACCAGGCUGAGGGGAAAGGCAGGGAACAGUAGGUACAGCUGGACCAGGCUGUCUACACAAAUAUUCACUGAUAAGUGAUGUGAGUUGUACGUGUUCUUGAGUUACAUCUGAAAUACUAACAUGUAGAGAACAAGGCAUGGUAUUUGUUUAUCAGGAAAAAACUUCACAUCUAUAAAACAUUAAAUAUGCUAUCUGCAGGUGAUGCCUAAAGGUUUCCCAGGUCACUCUACCCAAACCUUUGAAACAACAUGAUCCUUUCCUGCA